CCUACGGGAGGCAGCAGUGGGGAAUAUUGGACAAUGGGCGCAAGCCUGAUCCAGCAAUGCCGCGUGAGUGGUGAAGGCCUUAGGGUCGUAAAGCUCUUUUACCAGGGAUGAUAAUGACAGUACCUGGAGAAUAAGCUCCGGCUAACUCCGUGCCAGCAGCCGCGGUAAUACGGAGGGAGCUAGCGUUGUUCGGAAUUACUGGGCGUAAAGCGUACGUAGGCGGUUAUUCAAGUCAGAGGUGAAAGCCCGGGGCUCAACCCCGGAACGGCCUUUGAAACUAGGUAGCUAGAAUCUUGGAGAGGUCAGUGGAAUUCCGAGUGUAGAGGUGAAAUUCGUAGAUAUUCGGAAGAACACCAGUGGCGAAGGCGACUGACUGGACAAGUAUUGACGCUGAGGUACGAAAGCGUGGGGAGCAAACAGGAUUAGAUACCCUGGUAGUCCACGCCGUAAACGAUGAUAACUAGCUGUUCGGGCACUUGGUGCUUGAGUGGCGCAGCUAACGCAUUAAGUUAUCCGCCUGGGGAUACGGUCGCAAGNUUAAAACUUAAGGAAUUGA
rnacentral:rRNA from 1 species